rnacentral:rRNA from 1 species
CAAGGAAUUUUCCCCAAUGGGCGCAAGCCUGAGGGAGCAACGCCGCGUGCAGGACGACGGCCUUCGGGUUGUAAACUGCUUUUGCGUGGGACGAUAACGACGGUACCACGCGAAUCAGCCCCGGCUAACUCUGUGCCAGGAGCCGCGGUAAUACAGAGGGGGCAAGCGUUGUCCGGACUUACUGGGCGUAAAGCGCACGCAGGUGGUAACGCAAGUGGGGUGUGAAAGCCGCCAGCUCAACUGGCGGAGGCCAUCCCAAACUGCGUCACUUGAGGCCUGUAGAGGUAUGUGGAAUUCCGGGUGUAGCGGUGAAAUGCGUAGAUAUCCGGAGGAACACCAGUGGCGAAGGCGACUUCCUGGGCCAAUACUGACGCUGAGGUGCGAAAGCGUGGGGAGCAAACAGGAUUAGAUACCCCCGUAGUCC